rnacentral:rRNA from 1 species
UACAGAGGUCUCAACCGUUGUUCGGAUUCAUUGGGCGUAAGGGUGCGUAGGCGGCGCGGUAAGUCGGGUGUGAAAUCUCGGAGCUUAACUCCGAAACUGCAUUCGAUACUGCCGUGCUUGAGGACUGGAGAGGAGACUGGAAUUUACGGUGUAGCGGUGAAAUGCGUAGAUAUCGUAAGGAAGACCAGUGGCGAAGGCGGGUCUCUGGACAGUUCCUGACGCUGAGGCACGAAGGCCAGGGGAGCAAACGGG